AUAACCGCCGCGGAUCAAAGUGUAUAUCUGUUCUUAUAAGCUUACUCUCUGGUACGGGUUCUAUUAUGACCCAAAAUAUUAAACUUAUUUUUUCAAGGUAGCGGAGUGCUUGCAGCCUGCUUCACCUUCGCCGCGGGUCGACCCGUUGUUGCACACGCAGAACAACAAUGCGCGGAACCCUAGCCAU